rnacentral:rRNA from 1 species
GACGAACGCUGGCGGCGUGCUUAACACAUGCAAGUCGAACGGAAAGGCCCUGCUUGCAGGGUACUCGAGUGGCGAACGGGUGAGUAACACGUGGGUGAUCUGCCCUGCACUUCGGGAUAAGCCUGGAAACUGGGUCUAAUACCGGAUAGGAGCCAUUUUUAGUGUGAUGGUUGGAAAGUUUUUUCGGUGUAGGAUGAGCUCGCGGCCUAUCAGCUUGUUGGUGGGGUAAUGGCCUACCAAGGCGGCGACGGGUAGCCGGCCUGAGAGGGUGGACGGCCACAUUGGGACUGAGAUACGGCCCAGACUCCUACGGGAGGCAGCAGUGGGGAAUAUUGCACAAUGGGCGCAAGCCUGAUGCAGCGACGCCGCGUGGGGGAUGACGGCCUUCGGGUUGUAAACUCCUUUCGCUAGGGACGAAGCUUUUGUGACGGUACCUAGAUAAGAAGCACCGGCUAACUACGUG